rnacentral:rRNA from 1 species
ACUCCUACGGGAGGCAGCAGUGGGGAAUCUUAGACAAUGGGGGAAACCCGUAGCAUCUAGCCAUGCCGCGUGAGCGAUGAAGGCCUUAGGGUUGUAAAGCUCUUUCAGCUGGGAAGAUAAUGACGGUACCAGCAGAAGAAGCCCCGCUACAUCCGUGCCAGCAGCCGCGGUAAUACGGAGGGGCGUAGCGUUGUUCGGAAUUACUGGGCGUAAAGCGCAUGCAGGUGGUUUGUUAAGUCAGAUGUGAAAGCCCGGGCUCAACCUCGGAAUUGCAUUUGAAACUGGCAGACUAGAGUACUGUAGAGGGGGUGAGAAUUUCAGGUGUAGCGGUGAAAUGCGUAGAGAUCUGAAGGAAUACCGGUGGCGAAGGCGGCCCCUGC